rnacentral:rRNA from 1 species
AGAGUUUGAUCCUGGCUCAGAGCGAACGCUGGCGGCAGGCUUAACACAUGCAAGUCGAACGGAUCCUUCGGGAUUAGUGGCGGACGGGUGAGUAACACGUGGGAACGUGCCCUUAGGUUCGGAACAACACAGGGAAACUUGUGCUAAUACCGGAUGUGCCUCGUAAGAGGGAAAGAUUUAUCGCCUUUGGAGCGGCCCGCGUCUGAUUAGCUUGUUGGUGAGGUAAAGGCUCACCAAGGCUACGAUCAGUAGCUGGUCUGAGAGGAUGGCCAGCCACAUUGGGACUGAGACACGGCCCAAACUCCUACGGGAGGCAGCAGUGGGGAAUCUUGCGCAAUGGGCGAAAGCCUGACGCAGCCAUGCCGCGUGGAUGAUGAAGGUCUUAGGAUUGUAAAAUCCUUUCAGCGGGGACGAUAAUGACGGUACCCGCAGAAGAAGCCCCGGCUAACUUCGUGCCAGCAGCCGCGGUAAUACGAAGGGGGCUAGCGUUGCUCGGAUUUACUGGGCGUAAAGGGCGCGUAGGCGGAUAGUUAAGUUGGGGGUGAAAGCCCGGGGCUCAACCUCGGAAUUGCCUUCAAUACUGGCUAUCUUGAGUGUGAGAGAGGUGUGUGGAACUCCGAGUGUAGAGGUGAAAUUCGUAGAUAUUCGGAAGAACACCAGUGGCGAAGGCGACACACUGGCUCACUACUGNNNNUGANNNNCGAAAGCGUGGGGAGCAAACAGGAUUAGAUACCCUAGUAGUCC